rnacentral:rRNA from 1 species
UGAGGAAUAUUGGUCAAUGGGGGCAACCCUGAACCAGCCAAGUCGCGUGAAGGAUGAAGGUCUUAUGGAUUGUAAACUUCUUUUAUACAGGAAUAAAUUGGGGGACGUGUCCCCUUUUGCAUGUACUGUAUGAAUAAGGAUCGGCUAACUCCGUGCCAGCAGCCGCGGUAAUACGGAGGAUCCGCGCGUUAUCCGGAUUUAUUGGGUUUAAAGGGUGCGCAGGCGGGAUGUUAAGUCGGCGGUGAAAUUUUGCAGCUCAACUGUAAAAGUGCCUUCGAUACUGGCCUCCUUGAGUGUGGAUGAAGUAGGCGGAAUUUGUGGUGUAGCGGUGAAAUGCUUAGAUAUCACGAGGAACUCCGAUUGCGCAGGCAGCUUACUAAGCCACAACUGACGCUCAUGCACGAAGGCGUGGGGAUCAAACA